rnacentral:rRNA from 1 species
UUUAUGGAGAGUUUGAUCCUGGCUCAGGAUGAACGCUGGCGGCGUGCCUAAUACAUGCAAGUCGAGCGAACGGACGAGAAGCUUGCUUCUCUGAUGUUAGCGGCGGACGGGUGAGUAACACGUGGAUAACCUACCUAUAAGACUGGGAUAACUUCGGGAAACCGGAGCUAAUACCGGAUAAUAUUUUGAACCGCAUGGUUCAAAAGUGAAAGACGGUCUUGCUGUCACUUAUAGAUGGAUCCGCGCUGCAUUAGCUAGUUGGUAAGGUAACGGCUUACCAAGGCAACGAUGCAUAGCCGACCUGAGAGGGUGAUCGGCCACACUGGAACUGAGACACGGUCCAGACUCCUACGGGAGGCAGCAGUAGGGAAUCUUCCGCAAUGGGCGAAAGCCUGACGGAGCAACGCCGCGUGAGUGAUGAAGGUCUUCGGAUCGUAAAACUCUGUUAUUAGGGAAGAACAUAUGUGUAAGUAACUGUGCACAUCUUGACGGUACCUAAUCAGAAAGCCACGGCUAACUACGUGCCAGCAGCCGCGGUAAUACGUAGGUGGCAAGCGUUAUCCGGAAUUAUUGGGCGUAAAGCGCGCGUAGGCGGUUUUUUAAGUCUGAUGUGAAAGCCCACGGCUCAACCGUGGAGGGUCAUUGGAAACUGGAAAACUUGAGUGCAGAAGAGGAAAGUGGAAUUCCAUGUGUAGCGGUGAAAUGCGCAGAGAUAUGGAGGAACACCAGUGGCGAAGGCGACUUUCUGGUCUGUAACUGACGCUGAUGUGCGAAAGCGUGGGGAUCAAACAGGAUUAGAUACCCUGGUAGUCCACGCCGUAAACGAUGAGUGCUAAGUGUUAGGGGGUUUCCGCCCCUUAGUGCUGCAGCUAACGCAUUAAGCACUCCGCCUGGGGAGUACGACCGCAAGGUUGAAACUCAAAGGAAUUGACGGGGACCCGCACAAGCGGUGGAGCAUGUGGUUUAAUUCGAAGCAACGCGAAGAACCUUACCAAAUCUUGACAUCCUUUGACAACUUCCCCUUCGGGGGACAAAGUGACAGGUGGUGCAUGGUUGUCGUCAGCUCGUGUCGUGAGAUGUUGGGUUAAGUCCCGCAACGAGCGCAACCCUUAAGCUUAGUUGCCAUCAUUAAGUUGGGCACUCUAAGUUGACUGCCGGUGACAAACCGGAGGAAGGUGGGGAUGACGUCAAAUCAUCAUGCCCCUUAUGAUUUGGGCUACACACGUGCUACAAUGGACAAUACAAAGGGCAGCGAAACCGCGAGGUCAAGCAAAUCCCAUAAAGUUGUUCUCAGUUCGGAUUGUAGUCUGCAACUCGACUACAUGAAGCUGGAAUCGCUAGUAAUCGUAGAUCAGCAUGCUACGGUGAAUACGUUCCCGGGUCUUGUACACACCGCCCGUCACACCACGAGAGUUUGUAACACCCGAAGCCGGUGGAGUAACCUUUUAGGAGCUAGCCGUCGAAGGUGGGACAAAUGAUUGGGGUGAAGUCGUAACAAGGUAGCCGUAUCGGAAGGUGCGGCUGGAUCACCUCCUUU